AUUGAACGCUGGCGGCAGGCCUAACACAUGCAAGUCGAGCGGAUGAAGGGAGCUUGCUCCUGGAUUCAGCGGCGGACGGGUGAGUAAUGCCUAGGAAUCUGCCUGGUAGCGGGGGAUAACGUCCGGAAACGGGCGCUAAUACCGCAUACGUCCUGAGGGAGAAAGUGGGGGAUCUUCGGACCUCACGCUAUCAGAUGAGCCUAGGUCGGAUUAGCUAGUUGGUGGGGUAAAGGCCUACCAAGGCGACGAUCCGUAACUGGUCUGAGAGGAUGAUCAGUCACACUGGAAGUGAGACACGGUCCAGACUCCUACGGGAGGCAGCAGUGGGGAAUAUUGGGCAAUGGGCGAAAGCCUGAUCCAGCCAUGCCGCGUGUGUGAAGAAGGUCUUCGGAUUGGAAAGCACUUUAAGUUGGGAGGAAGGGCAGUAAGUUAAUACCUUGCUGUAUUGACGUUACCAACAGAAUAAGCACCGGCUAACUUCGUG
rnacentral:rRNA from 1 species